ACACCUCAACCCUCAUGGUUUGCCAUGACGGGCUUGGACUUUGGGGGUCUUGCUGGAUUGUAGUCAGCUCCCCUUAAACGAAUCAGCUUGCCAGUGUUUGGUGGCAUCACAGGUGUGAUAACUAUCUACGCUUGUGGUUUUACAUCAGAUAACCUUCAGUGAUGGAGGUUCACUGGAGCUCAUAAAGGUGUCUCUCCUCUGUGAGGACAGCUCUUUGAAU
rnacentral:misc_RNA from 1 species